GACGAACGCUGGCGGCGUGCUUAACACAUGCAAGUCGAACGGAAAGGCCCUGCUUUUGUGGGGUGCUCGAGUGGCGAACGGGUGAGUAACACGUGAGUAACCUGCCCUUGACUUUGGGAUAACUUCAGGAAACUGGGGCUAAUACCGGAUAGGAGCUCCUGCUGCAUGGUGGGGGUUGGAAAGUUUCGGCGGUUGGGGAUGGACUCGCGGCUUAUCAGCUUGUUGGUGGGGUAGUGGCUUACCAAGGCUUUGACGGGUAGCCGGCCUGAGAGGGUGACCGGCCACAUUAGGACUGGGAUACGGCCCAGCCUCCAACGGGAGGCAACGGUGGAGAAUAUUACACAAUGGGCGGAAGCCUGAUGCGGCAACGCCGCGUGCGGGAUGACGGCCUUCGGGUUGUAAACCGCUUUCGCCUGUGACGAAGCGUGAGUGACGGUAAUGGGUAAAGAAGCACCGGCUAACUACGUG
rnacentral:rRNA from 1 species